UUGCACAGUUUUACCGAUUGUCUAGCAUUCACACCAAGAAACUAACGCUAAAUAAAAUUUGUCAUGUUGUCAUGUCUCCAUAACGAAAUGCUGGUCCCGCCUUUCUACAUUUUUUGCACCAACACAUCCAAUGAACAUCUUUCGAUAAUUUUGAUCUAAAAUAGAUAGCCAAUGAAAAUUCGCCAAAUGUAAAAUUUCAUCUCAGGUUUAAACAUUUUCUCAUUUCCUAAAUGAUUGCUUCUGGUUACACGUCUACGACAAAAGUCCACAUUAAUGUGCAUGCUUGAAAAUGGAUCUCUGUAUAUAUCCAGGAAACAGAAUUUGCUUAGCUAGUUUUAUAAGUUCUUGCAAUGUUUUUCUGCAAUAAUACUUCACCUGUACAUGUAUACAACUGAAAAAGAUUACAAUGCAAAAGGAAAUUAUUAGACAGGAACAGUUUUAACAUCAGAAAGAAAAGGU
rnacentral:lncRNA from 1 species